GUGACCCCACUCAUGACUUGACAAUGUGUCAUUCGCAAGCAAAGGCGUAAUUCCUGCUGCUGUACGACAAGCCACAUCAGCGUAUCGAAGUUAAAAAGGUUCUUCUUCUCUUAACACCACUUGUUGAGUCUCACAAGAAAUGAAUGCAAAAGGAAAUGAGAUGCUCCAAAUUAAAGCCCAAACCAGGAAAAGCUCCCAAUAAAGCUGGAGGCUGGCAACACGAAAGAAGUAAACGGGCAAAAGUCUCAAAAAUGAUGCGCCGCUACCUCGCAAUAAAAGAUUCCAAGUGGAAACUCUCUCUCUCAUCAAACUAAUGACGCACAAGAUGGAAACAGAUGGAGGUAAGCUCCUGAGAAG